rnacentral:sRNA from 1 species
UUUUUUUUUGAAUACCAGGAGGUUCUGGGUCGAAGCCCGUAAUUCCUCAGACCCGAAACCACAUCAUGUAAUAUUAGUUUCGUUCCAAGCGUCACUCGAACCGACGAUCUCUAAGCUUCGCCUAGGGUCUUUACUAAUUGAGCUAACGACGCUUGAUAACCAGAAUUCUUUUGUUAAACUGUAUUUCUGGUAUACAUAGAUUUACAUUCGUUUCAUCAUGAAGAUUAAUUACAAACACUUAACGGUCAAAACACACAACAUUCUUU